UACGUAGGGUGCAAGCGUUGUCCGGAAUUAUUGGGCGUAAAGAGCUCGUAGGCGGUUUGUCGCGUCGGCUGUGAAAACUCGGGGGCUCAACCCCGAGCCUGCAGUCGAUACGGGCAAACUAGAGUUCGGUAGGGGAGACUGGAAUUCCUGGUGUAGCGGUGAAAUGUGUAGAGAUCGGGAGGAACACCGGUGGCGAAGGCGGGUCUCUGGGCCGAUACUGACGCUGAGGAGCGAAAGCGUGGGGAGCGAACAGG
rnacentral:rRNA from 1 species